GAUUCAUCAUCAAGUCCAGCUGCUAUCUGAUUAAUAACACUGGUCAUUCUGAUCAGAAAACCUGGGAAGAAGCUCAAGAAGACUGCAGAGCACAGGGUUCAGAUUUGGUUGUUGUAGAUGAUGAAGAUGAAAAGGAUGCACUCAGUUAUUUUAGACAGUACACAGACUGGUUCUGGAUUGGCCUGAGGGCUGAAGGAGGGAGAUGGAAGUGGAUCGAUGGAAGUGAUCCAACUGAAAGUGUCAGCGGAUGGAUAUAUGAACAACCAAAUGCUACUGAUGGUCAGUGUGCAGCUUAUGACACAUCCAGAUGGAGAUCAGUGAGCUGUACUGACAGAAGGCAUUGGCUCUGCAAAAAGAAGUCUUUAUCUGUUUAACCACUGCA